AAGGUAAACUGGUGAUAGAGAUAAAGAAUUAUGAUGAAGAAGUAUUUAGAAGAUUUGUUAGUUUUAUUCACUGUGGUAAAAUCAAGGUGGAUAUCAUUACUGUUAUAGGAUUAUUUUGCGCUUCUGUUGAAUAUGACAUAAAAGAUUUGCGUAAAGCAUGCUGGGACUAUUUUCUUCGGUGUUUCCAGAACCAGAGAGAUGCACUGAUGACGUCAGUAGAUCAAUAUAGAAACAAAGACUACAGAGGAAUGAAAUAUAUCUUAAAUAAGAUAUAUGACGUUAAAGGUGUUUGAAAAUCUACAUAGAAUUUGAUCAGUUCCAGGAAUAUCACCAUGAUUGGUUCCAUAGCAGUGCCACCUGCUGAUUUUUUGAAAGUU